AAGCAUCUGGCCUACACCCAGAAGAUUUCACAACAAAUGGACAUCAUGA
rnacentral:tRNA from 1 species